rnacentral:rRNA from 1 species
CUGCAGGACACAUGAACACCGACAAGUUGAACGCAUAUUGCACAUCGUACAACAGUACGAUGUACACAUUUUUGAGUGCCUAUAUUUAUCUAUUCAACUGUGCAGAGACACACUAUGUGUGUGUGUCUGCACGCAGAAUGGUGUUUUGCUGCCUUCGGUGGCCCGGCAAAACAUUCAAGACACUCCCGGUCCGAACGGGUGUGCGCCGAAGUUUGCGACGACCAUCACUGGUGCGCGACACACGAGGAACACACACGACGGGCGUGAGAAUACAUCCCACACACCAACCUGGCUUGGGCGCCGAUGUAGACUCACUCUCACUCUCUCGUGGCACGUGUGUUGUUCCGUUGUUGCGGUACCGCGUCCAAAAACCCCGCGCCGUGCCCGUUCGAGUGCCAUAUAGAUAGAUAGAUAUAAACCCCCAUGUAGGCCUCAAAUAAUGUGUGACUACCCCCUAAAUUU